GUGGGGAAUUUUGGACAAUGGGGGCAACCCUGAUCCAGCCAUGCCGCGUGCGGGAAGAAGGCCUUCGGGUUGUAAACCGCUUUUGUUCGGGAAGAAAUCCUCUGGGCUAAUACCCCGGGGGGAUGACGGUACCGGAAGAAUAAGCACCGGCUAACUACGUGCCAGCAGCCGCGGUAAUACGUAGGGUGCGAGCGUUAAUCGGAAUUACUGGGCGUAAAGCGUGCGCAGGCGGUUGUGCAAGACAGAUGUGAAAUCCCCGGGCUUAACCUGGGAACUGCAUUUGUGACUGCACGGCUAGAGUGCGGCAGAGGGGAGUGGAAUUCCGCGUGUAGCAGUGAAAUGCGUAGAUAUGCGGAGGAACACCGAUGGCGAAGGCAGCUCCCUGGGCCUGCACUGACGCUCAUGCACGAAAGCGUGGGGAGCAA
rnacentral:rRNA from 1 species